UACAGAGGAUGCAAGCGUUAUCCAGAAUGAUUGGGCGUAAAGCGUCUGUAGGUGGCUUUUUAAGUCCGCCGUCAAAUCCCAGGGCUCAACUCUGGACAGGCGGUGGAAACUACCAAGCUGGAGUACGGUAGGGGCAGGAGGGAAUUUCCGGUGGAGCGGUGAAAUGCGUAGAGAUCGGGAAAGAACACCAACGGCGAAAGCACUCUGCUGGGCCGACACUGACACUGAGAGACGAAAGCUAGGGGAGCGAAAUGGG
rnacentral:rRNA from 1 species